GAGAGUCUUGCCGGAGCAACUCCAACUCCGAUUUAGACUUCUUUUGCAGGUCCCGACGGCGACCGCGACUCCCUCGACUCCAGCUUCUCCGACGCAGGUGGAUUUUUACACCAACAUGAUUGGUGCUAGAGGAAGGACCGUGUCUUCACAGUACCCUUAUUCUUAAAGGAGCGCCCAAUAGGACCACCUCCGGUCAUCUUCUCCGACAUCCACUCCUCCUUCCCCCACUAGGUCUUCGCCCG
rnacentral:lncRNA from 1 species